rnacentral:rRNA from 1 species
AGUGAACGCUGGCGGUAGGCCUAACACAUGCAAGUCGAACGGCAGCACAGUAAGAGCUUGCUCUUACGGGUGGCGAGUGGCGGACGGGUGAGGAAUACAUCGGAAUCUACUUUUUCGUGGGGGAUAACGUAGGGAAACUUACGCUAAUACCGCAUACGACCUACAGGUGAAAGCAGGGGAUCUUCGGACCUUGCGCGAUUGAAUGAGCCGAUGUCGGAUUAGCUAGUUGGCGGGGUAAAGGCCCACCAAGGCGACGAUCCGUAACUGGUCUGAGAGGAUGAUCAGCCACACUGGAACUGAGACACGGUCCAGACUCCUACGGGAGGCAGCAGUGGGGAAUAUUGGACAAUGGGCGCAAGCCUGAUCCAGCCAUACCGCGUGGGUGAAGAAGGCCUUCGGGUUGUAAAGCCCUUUUGUUGGGAAAGAAAAGCAGCAGGUUAAUACCCCGCUGUUCUGACGGUACCCAAAGAAUAAGCACCGGCUAACUUCGUG